UGGGGAAUCUUAGACAAUGGGCGCAAGCCUGAUCUAGCCAUGCCGCGUGAGUGAAGAAGGCCUUAGGGUCGUAAAACUCUUUCGCCAGAGAUGAUAAUGACAGUAUCUGGUAAAGAAACCCCGGCUAACUCCGUG
rnacentral:rRNA from 1 species